GGAGUGGUAGUUCAGUUGGUUAGAAUACCGGCCUGUCACGCCGGGGGUCGCGGGUCGAGUCCCGUCCACUCCCC
rnacentral:tRNA from 1 species